rnacentral:lncRNA from 7 species
UCUUGCUUGAGAUUCCUGUGUCCUGUCCCUGUAGGGAACCUCGUGUUUCAAGCCUUAUGUUACACAACUGCAAUAGGACUUGAGCUACUCUUAAACAAGAGUAAACAUCUAGUUUACGAGAUCCUGAAAUCUCCUUUGCUAGCAGUUUAGAAAGAUCGAUUGGGAAAAUGUGCUUGAGGCAUCCGUCAACUUCAGUCUUGCCAUCAGCUGGAGAAGUCAACUGUAUGGUGUUUCCUUGAAUAAAUUUGCUGGUGUGACUGAAUUCACAAAACACUGACUGAGUCGGAAUGAACUGCUUUUCUUGCUCCAAAAAUAUAACUUACUACAGGAAAUGCAUUUGUGAGCUUUAAUGCCUUAGAAAGUGUGCGGAACACAGGCUUUACUGGGAAUCUGAAGACAGCAAGCUGCUGCCAAACUGCUGCUGGUUUUUGAAGAUGAUGAAACAAAGCCCCUUGCUCCCUAGGAUCAUUUUUUUUGAGGGUAACAUGGAUUACUGCAGUCAAAUUUCCAGAACAUUGAAUUUCUAUGUAGAUAGCUGUGUCAGUGACCUAGAGGUCCUGACUGAAGAAUGAUCCUGUGUUGGAGCAAAGCUUUCUGACAAAAUAACUGAUGGCUUCAUGACAAGAACUGUGGACCACAUGAAAGUUCUGAGGAAAACAGGACUUGCAGCUGGAGCUGCUUCUCUUGUUUCAGUAGGAAGCUGGCUUUACUAGUUUGUUUUGCAAAGAACUUUUUUCCUGCAAGCAGGUGUUCCUCGUGGGCUGCACAUCAAGCACUGGCCCCACAGAUGCAGUAUGCAAGUGAAAAGAACCCUGAAGAGAAUAAAAACAGGAGGGAGCUGUGGCAGAUUUGUGAGAAAGGAAGCACACCUUGAAACAGGGGAUGCCCUGGUGACAAUUCUUGCCAAAUGCACUGCGUGUUUUUUGUCCUACUCUGCCUUUUGUCCCUCUCUCAAGAAUUAGCAAGUAAUAUUGCAUUUUGCUUAAUGAGUCUUCUGCUGACCUAAUUGAGGUAACUGAAAUUAUCUGGAAUAGAUGCCUAUGUGUGUAUUCAAUAAAUUUUGUAAUCCUUUGUGCC